UACGUAGGGAGCAAGCGUUGUCCGGAAUCAUUGGGCGUAAAGCGCGCGGAGGUGGCCCUUUAAGUCCGCUGUGAAAGUCAAAGGCUCAACCUUUGAAAGCCGGUGGAUACUGGAGGGCUAGAGUACGGAAGAGGCGAGUGGAAUUCCUGGUGUAGCGGUGGAAUGCGCAGAUAUCAGGAAGAACACCCGUGGCGAAGGCGGCUCUCUGGGACGGUACUGACGCUGAGACGCGAAAGCGUGGGGAGCGAACAGG
rnacentral:rRNA from 1 species